rnacentral:rRNA from 1 species
ACAGUGUCUGGUGGGUAGUUUGACUGGGGCGGUCUCCUCCUAAAGAGUAACGGAGGAGCACGAAGGUUGGCUAAUCCUGGUCGGACAUCAGGAGGUUAGUGCAAUGGCAUAAGCCAGCUUGACUGCGAGCGUGACGGCGCGAGCAGGUGCGAAAGCAGGUCAUAGUGAUCCGGUGGUUCUGAAUGGAAGGGCCAUCGCUCAACGGAUAAAAGGUACUCCGGGGAUAACAGGCUGAUACCGCCCAAGAGUUCAUAUCGACGGCGGUGUUUGGCACCUCGAUGUCGGCUCAUCACAUCCUGGGGCUGAAGUAGGUCCCAAGGGUAUGGCUGUUCGCCAUUUAAAGUGGUACGCGAGCUGGGUUUAGAACGUCGUGAGACAGUUCGGUCCCUAUCUGCCGUGGGCGCUGGAGAACUGAGGGGGGCUGCUCCUAGUACGAGAGGACCGGAGUGGACGCAUCACUGGUGUUCGGGUUGUCAUGCCAAUGGCACUGCCCGGUAGCUAAAUGCGGAAGAGAUAAGUGCUGAAAGCAUCUAAGCACGAAACUUGCCCCGAGAUGAGUUCUCCCUGACUCCUUGAGAGUCCUGAAGGAACGUUGAAGACGACGACGUUGAUAGGCCGGGUGUGUAAGCG